GCCUGCCCAGUGACAUAAGUUAAACGGCCGCGGUAUCCUGACCGUGCAAAGGUAGCAUAAUCAUUUGUUCCUUAAUUAGGGACUUGUAUGAAUGGCCACACGAGGGUUUAACUGUCUCUUACUCUCAAUCAGUGAAAUUGACCUCCCCGUGAAGAGGCGGGGAUGCCCUAAUAAGACGAGAAGACCCUAUGGAGCUUUAAUUAACUAACUCACAUAUAAUUAAUCCAACCCAAACAGGAAUAAAAAAUAUAUUCUGAGUUAGCAAUUUCGGUUGGGGUGACCUCGGAGAAUAAAAAAUCCUCCGAAAUGAACAAGCCAAGACACAACAAGUCGAAGCAACCUACAUCAUAAUUGAUCCAACAAGUUGAUCAAUGGAACCAGUUACCCUAGGGAUAACAGCGCAAUCCUAUUCUAGAGUCCAUAUCGACAAUAGGGUUUACGACCUCGAUGUUGGAUCAGGACAUCCUAAUGGUGCAACCGCUAUUAAUGGUUCGUUUGUUCAACGAUUAAAGUCCUACGUGA
rnacentral:rRNA from 1 species